GGGCAACAGAGCAAGACUCCGUCUCAAAAACAAAACAAAACAAAACAAAAAACAAAACACUAAAAGACUUUAUGUGGCUCCAUUUUACCUUUUAGACAAUAUGCACGUAUUACUCUGAUAAAAAUAAAAAUAACUGAAAGAAAUCCAUGCAGUUAAGAACACACACACACACACCUGAAAACCCCACAGUACAUCCUACCCUCGUGUAAUAAUCAGGGUAGGCAAAGGGAGGAAGGCUUAGCCAGCCAGCAUUUUGUUAACCUGCCUUAUGUAAAGUGCACAGACCCACCCACACCCCUUAUGUAAACAGAAAUAAAUGUACCUUUCUUAAUUGCAGCAAUAAUUCUGGGAUUCAGGUCCAGUAGAUCUAAAUCCAUUCUGUCGGUGGGCUGCCCACCAGGAUGAAUAACUUCCCAGGAAAGACAGAACGAUGGAUGCAAAUUCUGAAGCACUUGCCUUCAAUUCAAAGCCUGUCAAAGGCACGCACCGCGGAAGUGACAGCAGCCACCGUGUCCGUGUCAUCCGGGCUCUGUCACUGCGGGUGGAAGAUACUUCACUGUACAGGGAAAGCUGUCGAGCUCUAUCUGGGGCAACAUGUCUGUAAUUUACCUCUAAGAAUUAGAAUGAUUUAGCAGCUUAGAACCCAUUCCAGACACUGAUGCAUUUGAAAAAUCCCCCAAACCCACCACAUUCACUCCCUGUGGGAAGUGCUAGAAAUAAGGCCAUCCUCCUGCGGCAGGUGAGGGCCCCGCCCGACUCACCGCUCUGGGGCUCAGGGAUGACCCACGCGUUCCUGGCUGACUUGACUGAAGCAUCUCUUGCACUCUGCAGUUUAAUUUCCUUUAAGUGUCUCCCUGGGGAUUCUGGAAAGAGUGGGAAGGUGGGUCUGGGAUUGGCAGAGUGCUCAGGGAAUCCGAACAUCGGUGGCCUCCAGCUGUCUCAGCAGCCAACAGCAGAAGGCAGCUUCCUUCCAGGACGACCACUGUGGACCCCACCCAGCCUCUCCCAGGAAGGGAGCUGGCAGCCCUUCCACAGCCCGAGCCCGGCCCAGAGAGGGAGAAGCUCAGCUCUUCUCCCCUCCGGCCUCGGCGGGCUGCUCAGGGAUUCAGCCCAGGAUCACAUAAGGCCUUUCCAACAGGCCACUCUACAUCCUCUGUCGGCUUCCCAAAUGGGGAGACCAAGAGUGUCCAGGGCACCAGGAAACCAGAAGGCAGCAGCCUCGAGGGCCAUGUCCUGCAGUGAGGCCCAGUGCCCUUGGCAGUAACCCAGCAGAGGAAAGGGCAGGCCACGGACUUGGAGAAGGCUUUCCCUUGGACCACACAGAAUGUGGCACUGGCCUGGAUGCAAUUACGCUGGUCACUCCAUGCCCAUGCUCAGCCUGCUCAGGGCCAGGCGUGGAAAACAGACUGCAGGAGCCGCAGGCUGAGGCACGCCCCCAGGCACCCCGUGAGGCGGGCAGGGCAGGGAAGCUGGUGCUCCAGGAUUCGUUUCCUGCCCGCGCACCAGGCUCCCGGGGCCCCACAGCCUGUGGAUUUUCUGAGCAAGGGACAGGGAGGUGCCCAGGCCUGGUUGCCCAGGCAGGCCUGACAGGAACUGGCGAGAAGCCACCUUGGGGGGCAGGGUGCAGGCCAAGGCAGGGCGGUGGGGCGCUGAAACCAGCUCCAAACUGCUGGCUGGCCAGAGUGAGGAAGUGAAGUUCCCCGGCACAGAAGGCAAAUCAAAAAGGAAUGCCACCUCCAGGAAAGGCACUACACUGCCAAAGGAGAUGUGGCCUCGCCUAGCUCUGUGAGUUACUGACCUUGAUUGCUGGGCUGCAAAAAUACAAAUCAACUUGAAGGUUGGGCAGAUGCUUUGAGACAAGCUAUACCCUGCUGGCCUGGGAGCUGGUCCUUGGUCCCAGCCUCUCAGAGAGCUCCCGCUCCCACACUCUCCACUGCUAUUAAGGCACACUGCGAACUCUAACCAGAUCUCAUUUUCCAGGGGCCUGCUCCAUCCCCGGAGCAACGACUUUGGCCAUUCUGGCACUCGCCUCCCUGCGGCAAAUGCACCCCAUCCAUGGAGGCCCUGCUUCCCCGCCAGGCGUCUUCACCUCCUCCCCUCUCUUCUCCUCUGAGCACUGUGAACCCAAGAACAAAUUCUCUUUGACAAUAAACCGUGUGAUUCGUGGAAUCAUA